UACAGAGGGGGCAAGCGUUGUUCGGCAUUACUGGGCGUAAAGGGCGCGUAGGCGGCCUUCUAAGUCAGACGUGAAAUCCCUCGGCUCAACCGGGGAACUGCGUCUGAGACUGGAAGGCUUGAAUCCGGGAGAGGGAUGUGGAAUUCCUGGUGUAGCGGUGAAAUGUGUAGAGAUCAGGAGGAACACCGGUGGCGCAGGCGGCCCGCUGGACGGAGACUGACGCUGAGGCGCGAAAGCGUGGGGAGCAAACGGG
rnacentral:rRNA from 1 species